rnacentral:tRNA from 1 species
GCGUGUAUGGUGUUUAACGGUAGCAUUACGGUCUUCCAAACCGAAGGUACGAGUUCGAAUCUCGUUACACGUUCCA